rnacentral:rRNA from 1 species
CGGGUGAGUAACACGUGGAUAACCUACCUAUAAGACUGGGAUAACUUCGGGAAACCGGAGCUAAUACCGGAUAAUAUAUUGAACCGCAUGGUUCAAUAGUGAAAGACGGUUUUGCUGUCACUUAUAGAUGGAUCCGCGCUGCAUUAGCUAGUUGGUAAGGUAACGGCUUACCAAGGCAACGAUGCGUAGCCGACCUGAGAGGGUGAUCGGCCACACUGGAACUGAGACACGGUCCAGACUCCUACGGGAGGCAGCAGAU